rnacentral:rRNA from 1 species
AUUGAACGCUGGCGGCAUGCCUUACACAUGCAAGUCGAACGGUAACAGGUCUUCGUAUGCUGACGAGUGGCGAACGGGUGAGUAAUACAUCGGAACGUGCCUAGUAGUGGGGGAUAACUACUCGAAAGAGUGGCUAAUACCGCAUGAGAUCUACGGAUGAAAGCAGGGGAUCGCAAAACCUUGUGCUACCAGAGCGGCCGAUGGCAGAUUAGGUAGUUGGUGGGAUAAAAGCUUACCAAGCCGACGAUCUGUAGCUGGUCUGAGAGGACGAUCAGCCACACUGGGACUGAGACACGGCCCAGACUCCUACGGGAGGCAGCAGUGGGGAAUUUUGGACAAUGGGCGCAAGCCUGAUCCAGCAAUGCCGCGUGCAGGAUGAAGGCCUUCGGGUUGUAAACUGCUUUUGUACGGAACGAAAAGCCCUGGGUUAAUACCCUGGGGUCAUGACGGUACCGUAAGAAUAAGCACCGGCUAACUACGUGCCAGCCGCCGCCGUAAGAC